GACGAACGCUGGCGGCGUGCUUAACACAUGCAAGUCGAACGAAGAGCGAUGGAAGCUUGCUUCUAUCAAUCUUAGUGGCGCACGGGUGAGUAACGCGUAAUCAACCUGCCCUUCAGAGGGGGACAACAGUUGGAAACGACUGCUAAUACCGCAUACGAUCUAAUCUCGGCAUCGAGGAUGGAUGAAAGGUGGCCUCUACAUGUAAGCUAUCACUGAAGGAGGGGAUUGCGUCUGAUUAGCUAGCUGGAGGGGUAACGGCCCACCAAGGCGAUGAUCAGUAGCCGGUCUGAGAGGAUGAACGGCCACAUUGGGACUGAGACACGGCCCAGACUCCUACGGGAGGCAGCAGUGGGGAAUCUUCCGCAAGGGACGAAAGUCUGACGGAGCAACGCCGCGGGAGUGAUGACGGCCUUCGGGUUGUAAAGCUCUGUUAAUCGGGACGAAAGGCCUUCUUGCGAAUAGAGAGAAGGAUUGACGGUACCGGAAUAGAAAGCCACGGCUAACUACGUG
rnacentral:rRNA from 1 species